CGGAAGGGCAUACUAACCAGC
rnacentral:miRNA from 1 species